rnacentral:rRNA from 1 species
GAUGAACGCUGGCGGCGUGCCUAACACAUGCAAGUCGAGCGGGAUCUUGCUAAAUGACGCUUCGGUUGAUUUUAGUAAGUGAGAGCGGCGGACGGGUGAGUAACGCGUAGGCAACCUGCCCUUUGCAGAGGGAUAGCCAUUGGAAACGAUGAUUAAAACCUCAUAAUGCCAGACUGAGACAUCUCUAACUGGCCAAAGAUUUAUCGGCAAAGGAUGGGCCUGCGUCUGAUUAGCUAGUUGGUGGGGUAACGGCCUACCAAGGCGACGAUCAGUAGCCGACCUGAGAGGGUGAUCGGCCACAUUGGAACUGAGACACGGUCCAAACUCCUACGGGAGGCAGCAGUGGGGAAUAUUGCACAAUGGGCGAAAGCCUGAUGCAGCAACGCCGCGUGAAGGAAGAAGGUCUUCGGAUCGUAAACUUCUGUCCUUAGGGAAGAUAAUGACGGUACCUUUGGAGGAAGCCCCGGCUAACUACGUGCCAGCAGCCGACGG